GCCUGGGUGGCACAGCGGUUGAGCGUCUGACUUCAGCUCAGGGCGUGAUCCCGGCGUUAUGGGAUCGAGCCCCACAUCAGGCU
rnacentral:tRNA from 1 species